GCACGGGGCAAACCACACUGGGGUUUGGUUUAUUCCUGCCGGCAGACUGCCCGUGUCCCCGUGCGAGCUCGGCAGACGCUACGGUGAAGCUGCUGGCAUUGAACUCGGGGAAUGGUCUGUUUAUCUUGGUGCCAAGGUUUGGACAGCUUGGCUUAAAUGACUGAUCUGAGGCCGCUCAUAAAUUGGCUUGAGGAGAUGUAUCUGCUUUGAAAUGAAAGAACUGAUUUUUUCUAAUUCUGGGAGGCAGUUAAGUAUCUACCUACAGAGUUAAGAUCUUUGGGAAAAAGACUUCCCCUCUUUGUGCACACUGCCUUACACAGCAACGCUCCUAGCAACGCUCCUAGCAACCGGGCAACAUCUGCUCCCGCUGGACCAAUCCGCGCCGGGAACAUCUGGGCACCCACCUCCGCGGGCUGCGGCCGGGAGGUGAUGCGCUCCUCAGUGGCUGCAGGGACCCGCAGGAGCUGCCACCACCACCACCACCUCCACCACCACCACCUCCUCCAGGAGCAGCAGACGGCUCCGAACGGCGAGGGAAGGACGGGGAGCAGCCCUCCCUCCGGAGCCGGGCCUCGCUGGGUAACCCUUCAGCAGUGCUGUGCUGCCAGAAAUGCUCGCUGAGCCCGUGCGAGGAGGAAUUCUUACCAGAACUGCUGAGAUUAUCCCAGAAAGACCCUUUGCAGAUUGACUCCGCAUCCUCAGAGCUGAUCUGAUCGGGGCCUACCAAAGACAUUAACGACGUCGAAAGUAGCCUACUUUAAGAGAAAAUAUGCAGAAGAAGAACAUUUACAUCAAGAUUACCAUGAGUAUUGUCCAAAACACCUGAUACUACCCGAGGACCGGACUUGUAUUCUAAAACUUUCUCUCCAGAAACUCCGAUUCCUGGACGACCCUGAAGCCUAUCUCCGUAGGUCUGUAUUAAUUAACAAUCUGUUGAGGAAGAUUCACCUAGAGACAGAGAGGGAGAGCUAUGAAUACUUUAAGGAGGCUCCGUGUUAUAGGACUGCUUACUCUGACGCACGAAAACGGCUGAAGUUUAUGGUACAGGAGUGCUGUUCCCAGUCGCUCUAUUAUGAAGAGCUGCAUUCGUAUCGCAUUGUGCCUUACUCUGCAGAGAACGCCGUUUACGGAAUGGGCUACACAAGCAGCCACUUGGAGCAAAAUUCUCAAUUGCUUAUUUAUAAAAUGAAUUAAAGUAGCUGUUAGACCCAUUGAUGUUUGUUUCUGAAUGCUUGAACUGCUUAUUGGGAAGUUAAGAUGAGGCACUAGUUGCAGAUAUACUUGUGAUGGAAGGCGGAUGCGUUCAGAGCUGAGCGGGAGAUACUUUGAAUAACGCUCUGCAGCCCCCGCUGUUAACCCCCUGGUUACGGAGUUCCUUGACAUACACACAGAGCUGGUGCGAUACGGAGGGCUUUAUCCGCAGAGACUGCGCGCAAUGUGUUUUGUAGAAACAAAGCUGCAUUUAAGUUACCUGUGUGUAGAUACAGACAUUCAAAAAUCACUUUACAGUUAAAUUAUGCCAUCCCCGGUGGAAGGGGAGCCCCCAAAGCAGUGGAGUAGUCCAACAGUGAGGAGUAAAAUGCAAGUUAUUUACUGUAAAGGUGAAUAGAUAGAAAGUUUCUUUGAGAAAUGCUUUGACCAUGAAGGAGUCAGUGCCAAAGGAAACAGCCUUUUGCUUAGGAUUUUCAGAGACUUAACUCACUUGCUACUUACAAGACACUCUGUACUGAGAUUUGCAAGUUGUUUUUUUUUUUUUUUUUAAAUAAUUGCAUUCACCUUUUACUUAUAUUAUCUCUUAGCUGGUAUCUACUUUGCUAUUUUAAUACAAACCAGAAUGACACAGGAAAGACUGUUUCUUCAGCCCGCCAUCAGUGUUUCCUUAACUUCAUUUGAUCCUUUCCCUAGCUGUUUCCCUGAUACUUUUCUGCAUGCUAGUUUGCUGUUUGGCCAGAGGUUCACGCUGGUGCUAGGGAAUAGACAGUAACUUUUUGUUUAAUGUGGACUAUAAAAGGCAGAAAAACAAUGAUAACUGUCAUAGAUAGAGAAUGAAUGUAUCUGACAGAUGCCAGUAAAACCUCAGAGGUUCUCCUGAUGAAACUACUCAGCAUUAGUAAUAGUGUUUCAGGUUAAGUGAAAUGUCUAAUUUCAAUCUGGGAAUUAACCUUAGAAUAUGUAAAUAUAUAUUUCACAAGCUAUGACAUGAGAGACGUUCAGCAAAUUGAUGACAAAUGGAAAGUUUUAUAGCUGCCAAAGCUAUAUCAUGAAAAUACCAAAGAGUAAUAUAAGGGAAAAGAUGAUGCUCCAGCAAUGGGGUCAAAAGCAAAGAUUGCACUAUAACCUGGGGAAAUGUGAUUAAUGAGCCUGUAAACUAUCCGUUACUGAUACACCUGCAGUUCACCUGCGGGUGACUUGCAUCCCAAUUGCUGAACAAACAUACGAGAUGAUCCAAAGCCUGUCAAAGUCCGGCAGGUCUGUUGGCUUACAGUGAAGAAACCAGCUUUGCCUCGCUGGCUGUCACCACUUUAAAGCUUUAAAGCAAAGUAAAUAAUAGCACACACUCAGCUGGAGGCAGAUACGUAUCUAAGAAUCUAAUUUUUUAUUUUGAAAGACUUUGCUCAUGCAGAUGUGGCUGAUGCUAUUUCCGAAGCAUAAUACAGUACGAACAAAUACCAUUGCUUGCCAGGGACGUGCUUCAUGUAGGAUUCCUCUUGUAACCCUGUUCAGAGCAUCCUAGUCGUGCGUGUUGCACGUAUCAUCGCAGCGCUCAGGCACGUGUUAAUAGUUCAGGAGAAAAGACAGAAAGGCAAGAGCUGGAGGUGUGAAGAGCAAAGUUAACUCUGAUAUCAGUAGUUAGAAGCCAGUACAGGUUUAGGAGACAGAAGAAAACAGUGGAAUCCAGAUUUUAUUUUUUUUUAAUGUAAAAAAAAAAAAAAGGCAACAGUCUAAUUCAAAACAAGGAUAACCUGCAAACUGGAGAACAUAAACAGUACAGAUAUUGUGGGAAGGCUGGAGAAACAGGACAGUGCUGUUUGGGAGGUGCUAUUAGUCAUGAUGAAUGUUCAGGUUUUUGUUUUUAUUUUGAGACAACGCAUAUUUGCUUGUCUGUUACAAAAGGGUGUCUUUAAGCCCUUGGUCAGUGUAAUUCGGUGUCAGAGCUGCUUGGCGAUGUGCGAUUAUAUUCCUGCUACCCCUGGGCUUGCACCAGCCCAAAAUGAUGUGAAUUAAGCCCACAUUUGGUGUAGUUUGAAAAAUAUCCAGCUAAAAGUGGCCGUGCCCAUCUCGACAGGGGCCGGCUGAGAAAGGCCAGGCUAAUUGUCAGGCGUGUGGAACAGCCCUAACACCACCAGUAAAAGCUGGCAGCGAAACCCGUCCGCUGCGUGGGAUGCGGGCUGAUGCUGUGACGGCUGUUGUGAGAGGUGCCAUUAUCCUCCAAAGCGCUCUCUGGCCUCUGCUGCCGCCUCGCACGCCUCCUGCGAACCCAGCGGCUGGGGCAGGGGCGUUAGAAGGCUGCUAGGUGGUAAAGGAAAAUUACUUCUGUCUUCUGAUUUUUCAGACUGUGUAAUUUUCCGCUCUGAAGUGAUCUGAUUACGCUUUUUUUCCCCUUCGUGUCUGUUUUCGCCUGAAUUCAUAAUAUUUUAGCAGCUACGUGAAAUGCUAAAAUGCUUUUUUUUCUCUCACUGACCUACUUUUUUAUAUUCAGAGGAUGGUUUUGGCCUGAAAAAACAAAACUUUUUAUGUAAAAUUAAUAAUGUUUCAGUGGAAUGAAAAAGCUCAGUAGGAUUAAAGCCUUUAACCUCACCUGAAAAGACCCAUUGCCCCUGUUGGAUUCAUCUUUGAUGAGUAACUUGCUUGGUGGCUGGAAGGGGCAGAUGCUUUCUUGCUCAUUUAAAGCUUCUCUGAAAAGGUGUUAAUGAUAACUGAACAGAUAGACAAAAAUCUGGAUUAGAUAACAAAACUCCUUGGGCUACCUGUGAAAGAGGAUGAUAUUUUACUCAUGGUUUUUCUCAUGUGUUGUUUUCUUGAACAAAAAUCAUUGUCUAAUUUUUUAUUUCUACUUGCUCUAGGAGCUGUUAAAAUGGAUUAUUUCUUUCUAGAAAACAAAUCGGUUUUUCAUGCUUGACUUUUUGAUAUGAAAUUGAAUCAAAAGUCCACAAUUCUAAAUAUUUUAAGUCUGCUCAAGUUUUUACUGCCUUCCGCUUUGUGCAGUGAUUUGUGCAGCUGAAAAGUGGGUCUGAAAUAUUCUACUGUAGUGCUUGAAAAACAUAGUUUAUGGGGUGAUAAAGAAGUACAAAUGUGCAAUAACGUUGCAAGUUACUCCCGAAACAUUUAAUUUGACACUUUUUUAAUUAUAUACUGAUUUUAACAUUAAGUUACUGGGUACCAGCAUUUUAGUACAGCUACAUACAGUGAUUUUUCUUUUUUAGGUUUGUAGCUAUAAUUCAGUUCUUCUGGCUUCUGAUGUGUGAAUCUGUCUGUAGGUGGUCAACUUUCAGUGAUAUAUAUAUAUAUAUAUUCUAUUACGACUGCAGUAGGAACUCCCACAUAUGGGCUAUGUUUGCACUGGAUGUAAAGAAAGUCCUUCCUUCCCUUUGACUCAGUUGCCUUGGAGACAGUAUAUUCAUCAGAGAGAAUAUAGACAAGCUGGGUGACAUGGACAGAGUUGGUAACGGUAGCUGAUCAUUUGGAAAAUGACUGGCUUAGGACAGUUCAUUUUUGUCUCGGAAUGGCAGCACACUUGACUGUAACUAGUGUUUAAAUGAGUUAAGUUUUCUUUGUGCCGCUUUUCCCUAACUGGCUGUAAAUGCCGGGCCUGAUCCUGGAUGCAGAAGGGGCGGUGGUGGCUCUGCGGGAGGCACGGUGUGGGGGUGUGCGUGGGGGUCAGCUUUUGGAGCUGCAGGGCCUGUGGCUGACGGCGAGGGGGGGGGUCACACGCCGGGAGGCAGCCGGGCUCAGCGGGGCAGCACCUCUGCCUGCACGACCUGGUGCAGGCACCCCAAAAUAUUAGGGCGCUGAUCCUGUAAAUGCUUCAGGUAUCAUCGAAGUUUCUUUGCACAGAUCCUCUCGCUGAAGCCGGAGAGGCUCCUCGUGUACUUGCCGCUCAGCACGGGUAUGAGCGUGCGCAGGGCCGGGGCUGCUGUGCGCUGCAGAAGUACUCCUCCAUUGCCUAAUUAACGGUGAAAGUGAUUAUAGAGCUGCCGCUUGAGUUCUUGAAUACGUUUAUAUUGCACUGUAAAUUGAACUUUUGUUUUCAAUGAAUGUGUUGAGUAUAUGGACUAUUGUGCCUUAAAGUCACAUCCUCAUAUGAGCCUUUGUAUAUGUUCUGUAAAUCUGCAAACCGUGUAUAGCUGAUACCUCUGUGCACUCUAUACAGAUCCAGUUCGAUACUCGGCAGGGCCUUGGGAAACACGACCCUGACCUCAGUUUGCAAUGAAAACAGAGGGGAUACGGCAAUUCACUCUUCUCUUCUUUUUUAGAUUGCUUUCCUCUUCGCCGUUCAUGAAAUUCUGUUUUUCUGGUUUCUGUUGUAACUGGGUUCUGGGUUACCUACAAUGCCAGACGCCCCUCACGGGAACUCAGAAAGUUGUAAAAAUAGUUGUCUCCAGCUUUUAAACGCCAUCUGUACAGCGCGCUCUCAGCAGGGAAUCACAAUUGCGUAUAAUAACUGUGGCAGGUGUUGUCAAGUAUAUCAUCAUAUAUUUGACAUGAUUAACAAAGCAGAAAAGGGAACACCUAUUUCUAUUGAAAUGCAUGAGCCUGCAUUAUGUUAAAUACAUGGUGAUUAUACACCACUUAAUUGGAAUAAUACCUACUGGUUCUAUAACAAAAAACGGCUUUUUAAUGUUUAAAAUUACUUGGGACCUGAUUAAAGGUUUUUAUGAAAUUGUUUUCUAAAGUGAAUAGUAGAAAAAUGUAUAUGUAUUUUAAAUAUACAUAUGAUGUGCAUGUUACUAAUAAAGAUCUAUUUCUAU